CAUAGUAAGUGUCGUAGUGGCCUUUCAGUGAGAGCCAAGAGCAUAAUAGUAAAUGGUCAAGAACUUGAGUUCAAAUCUUGGCUGUGCUGUUUACUUUAGACGAGUUAUUUAACCUCUCUGUACCCUAGUUUCCUUAUUUGUAAGAUGAAGAAACCCUCACACGUACACACACACACACACACACACACACAUCAUGCAGCCCUCUUUGAGUGUUGGGAAGAUUGAAGGGAUCACAUUUAAGCACACUUUAAGUCCUUAAUAAACAUAAAUGGCUAUCAUUAUCAUUUACACUUGAAGCAAGUUUGCUGGGAUGGAUUUAAAAGUAUUUUCAAUCCAUAUUUUGCUGGCAGUCUUGUUCAUCCAAGAAAGACUUUUGUCAUCUUUGGAAUGAGUGGGCUAUAGGGAUUAUACUUCAGGCAAUCCUUCAAGAUGAUUUUUCUCUCAGAGGUUUUAGAUAAAUCAAGGCAUGACAGUGAAUUUUAGAUUAUAUGCUAUGACAAGUACCUGGAGGGCAGCUCUACCCUGUGGCUGAGUAAGGCAGGGCCCCACUUACCAGUCAUUGGGCUGGGUGGAAACACACCUUUUAACAAAGUUGGGGAUUAAGAUGCAUACAUGUGUCUGAAUAGAAAAGCACCUCACUUUUGCCUGUGCCUGGCCAGCAAAAGCACUUGCUUUCAUGUGAUCUUUGGGUAAUGUCAGCUCAGCUCUAUUGAGGAGAUUUAUUCAGCCUAGAAUUGGCCCACUUUUAGCUGCAUUUAAUAUUCAGUUUUCAUUUUAAGAACUUUAAAUGCCCGAAAUCUAACAGAUUGACAUACCCAACAAGCAAACACAUUUACAUGUUUACAAAAACUCUCAAAAAUAUAAGGCUGGAAUUAUAACUUUUUUAAAUAAUUUUUAUUGUUGGUUGUUCAAAACAUUACAUAGUUCUUGAUAUAUCAUAUUUCAC
rnacentral:lncRNA from 1 species